rnacentral:rRNA from 1 species
UGCAGUCGACGCGACGCACCUUCGGGUGUUAGUAGAGUGGCGGACGGGUGAGUAACACUUGGGAAUCUGCCUAGUAGUGGGGGAUAACUCGGGGAAACUCGAGCUAAUACCGCAUACGCCUUACGGGGGAAAGAUUUAUCGCUAUUAGAUGAGCCCAAGUCAGAUUAGCUAGUUGGUAGGGUAAAGGCCUACCAAGGCGACGAUCUGUAGCUGGUCUGAGAGGACGAACAGCCACACUGGGACUGAGACACGGCCCAGACUCCUACGGGAGGCAGCAGUGGGGAAUAUUGGACAAUGGGCGAAAGCCUGAUCCAGCAAUGCCGCGUGUGUGAAGAAGGCCUGCGGGUUGUAAAGCACUUUCAGUUGGGAAGAUGAUGACGUUACCAACAGAAGAAGCACCGGCUAACUCCGUG